CCUACGGGUGGCAGCAGUCGAGAAUUUUUCUCAAUGGGGGAAACCCUGAAGGAGCGACGCCGCGUGGAGGAUGAAGGUCUUCGGGUUGUAAACUCCUGUCAUUUGGGAACUAGUACCAGAAGAGGAAGAGACGGCUAACUCUGUGCCAGCAGCCGCGGUAAUACAGAGGUCUCAAGCGUUGUUCGGAUUCAUUGGGCGUAAAGGGUGUGUAGGUGGCGCGCUAAGUCGGGUGUGAAAUUUCGGAGCUUAACUCCGAAACUGCAUUCGAUACUGGCGUGCUUGAGGACUGGAGAGGAGACUGGAAUUCAUGGUGUAGCAGUGAAAUGCGUAGAGAUCAUGAGGAAGACCAGUGGCGAAGGCGGGUCUCUGGACAGUCCUGACACUGAGACACGAAGGCCAGGGGAGCAAACGGGAUUAGAUACCCUUGUAGUC
rnacentral:rRNA from 1 species